rnacentral:tRNA from 1 species
GGGUUAGCUCAUUGGUUAAAGCAUAGGACUUGUGACCGGAAGGUCGCGGGUUCGAAUCUCGCCAGAGCCA